GACGAACGCUGGCGGCGUGCUUAACACAUGCAAGUCGAACGGAAAGGCCCUGCUUUUGUGGGGUGCUCGAGUGGCGAACGGGUGAGUAACACGUGAGUAACCUGCCCUUGACUUUGGGAUAACUUCAGGAAACUGGGGCUAAUACCGGAUAGGAGCUCCUGCUGCAUGGUGGGGGUUGGAAAGUUUCGGCGGUUGGGGAUGGACUCGCGGCUUAUCAGCUUGUUGGUGGGGUAGUGGCUUACCAAGGCUUUGACGGGUAGCCGGCCUGAGAGGGUGACCGGCCACAUUGGGACUGAGAUACGGCCCAGACUCCUACGGGAGGCAGCAGUGGGGAAUAUUGCACAAUGGGCGGAAGCCUGAUGCAGCAACGCCGCGUGCGGGAUGACGGCCUUCGGGUUGUAAACCGCUUUCGCCUGUGACGAAGCGUGAGUGACGGUAAUGGGUAAAGAAGCACCGGCUAACUACGUGCCAGCAGCCGCGGUGAUACGUAGGGUGCGAGCGUUGUCCGGAUUUAUUGGGCGUAAAGGGCUCGUAGGUGGUUGAUCGCGUCGGAAGUGUAAUCUUGGGGCUUAACCCUGAGCGUGCUUUCGAUACGGGCUGACUUGAGGAAGGUAGGGGAGAAUGGAAUUCCUGGUGGAGCGGUGGAAUGCGCAGAUAUCAGGAGGAACACCAGUGGCGAAGGCGGUUCUCUGGGCCUUUCCUGACGCUGAGGAGCGAAAGCGUGGGGAGCGAACAGGCUUAGAUACCCUGGUAGUCCACGCUGUAAACGGUGGGUACUAGGCGUGGGGUCCAUUCCACGGGUUCCGUGCCGUAGCUAACGCUUUAAGUACCCCGCCUGGGGAGUACGGCCGCAAGGCUAAAACUCAAAGGAAUUGACGGGGCCCCGCACAAGCGGCGGAGCAUGCGGAUUAAUUCGAUGCAACGCGUAGAACCUUACCUGGGUUUGACAUGGAUCGGGAGUGCUCAGAGAUGGGUGUGCCUCUUUUGGGGUCGGUUCACAGGUGGUGCAUGGCUGUCGUCAGCUCGUGUCGUGAGAUGUUGGGUUAAGUCCCGCAACGAGCGCAACCCUUGUUCACUGUUGCCAGCACGUUAUGGUGGGGACUCAGUGGAGACCGCCGGGGUCAACUCGGAGGAAGGUGGGGAUGACGUCAAGUCAUCAUGCCCCUUAUGUCCAGGGCUUCACGCAUGCUACAAUGGCUGGUACAGAGAGUGGCGAGCCUGUGAGGGUGAGCGAAUCUCGGAAAUCCGGUCUCAGUUCGGAUUGGGGUCUGCAACUCGACCUCAUGAAGUCGGAGUCGCUAGUAAUCGCAGAUCAGCAACGCUGCGGUGAAUACGCUCCCGGG
rnacentral:rRNA from 1 species